CGCGGAUAAGACCUGUUGCAAACAUGUAUAAGCAGCUUCUUUUUAAAGCAAUAGUUGGACAUUUUGGGAAAUACACUGAUUCACUUUCUAUCCACGAGUUAGAUAAGAUCAAUACCACUCUCAGGACUGUAUUUUUAAUAUGUUGCUACA